UACGAAGGGGGCUAGCGUUGUUCGGAAUUACUGGGCGUAAAGCGCGUGUAGGCGGGUCUUUAAGUCAGGGGUGAAAUGCCAGGGCUCAACCUUGGAACUGCCUUUGAUACUGGAGACCUUGAGUCCGGGAGAGGUGAGUGGAAUUGCGAGUGUAGAGGUGAAAUUCGUAGAUAUUCGCAAGAACACCAGUGGCGAAGGCGGCUCACUGGCCCGGAACUGACGCUGAUGCGCGAAAGCUAGGGGAGCAAACAGG
rnacentral:rRNA from 1 species